UACGUAGGGUGCAAGCGUUAAUCGGAAUUACUGGGCGUAAAGCGUGCGCAGGCGGUUUUUGUAAGUCUGUCGUGAAAUCCCCCGGGCUCAACCUGGGGAAUUGCGAUGGAGACUGCAAGGCUAGAAUCUGGCAGAGGGGGGGUAGAAUUCCACGUGUAGCAGUGAAAUGCGUAGAGAUGUGGAGGAACACCGAUGGCGAAGGCAGCCCCCUGGGUCAAGAUUGACGCUCAUGCACGAAAGGCGUGGGGAGCAAACAGG
rnacentral:rRNA from 1 species